GGGGAUUUGGCUCAGUGGUAGAGCACUUGCCUAGCAAGCACAAGGCCCUGGGUUCGGUCCCCAGCUCG
rnacentral:tRNA from 1 species